UUGAUUUUGCAGUAGACACACUGUAGAGAGUUUUCGUUUUAAUUAUGUUUGAACUGAUUCCAAACGUUGGACACUUUCUGUUGUUUUCUCCAGCCUGUCUCUUUUCUUAACCCCUUAGGCGCUUUCUUAAUUUUGUAAUCGGCACCGACAGUCUUGA